rnacentral:rRNA from 1 species
GAUGAACGCUGGCGGCGUGCUUAACACAUGCAAGUCGAACGAUGAAGCCCAGCUUGCUGGGUGGAUUAGUGGCGAACGGGUGAGUAACACGUGAGUAACCUGCCCUUAACUCUGGGAUAAGCCUGGGAAACUGGGUCUAAUACCGGAUAGGAGCGCCUACCGCAUGGUGGGUGUUGGAAAGAUUUAUCGGUUUUGGAUGGACUCGCGGCCUAUCAGCUUGUUGGUGAGGUAAUGGCUCACCAAGGCGACGACGGGUAGCCGGCCUGAGAGGGUGACCGGCCACACUGGGACUGAGACACGGCCCAGACUCCUACGGGAGGCAGCAGUGGGGAAUAUUGCACAAUGGGCGAAAGCCUGAUGCAGCGACGCCGCGUGAGGGAUGACGGCCUUCGGGUUGUAAACCGCUUUCAGUAGGGAAGAAGCGAAAGUGACGGUACCUGCAGAAGAAGCACCGGCUAACUACGUG